UGAAGAGGAGUUAUAGGGGUUUCUUCAAAAUUUAUUUUUGGGUUGACAACUUUGACUAUAAAUUAUUAGUGGAGUAACUCGUAUAGGAUCUUGGGAGUGGCUCACUCACAAACAUCAACCUCUAGGAAGAGAUCAAAAGUUGACUUACAAGCAUAUACUAGUAAGAAGAAUGCUAAAAACAAGACUGAUAGAGGAAGAGGCAAUGGCAAGAUGGUGCAGAGCUCACAAACCUCAGAUAUCCAGAAAUCUCAAGUUUCAGUAGUCUCAGGCAAGCAACAGAGGUACUCUUACUGUAUUUAAGAGGCCAAGAGUAGUGGGAGAUGGAGUGCUUGUCUGGAAAAAUGGCUUUACAUAUGUUGAACAAGAAAGGUCUGUUAAUAGGAUAACCAAUACUGGAGCAAUGGAAAGUUCAACUGUGGUAACUAGUGAUCUUGGUUUUAAAUCAAGUAAAUGCCUGAAAUGGAAGAGAAAGCAAGCAAUCACAACUUCAACACAAAAGUGCAUUACUACAAUAUUUAAGGUCAAAUUCACCAAAAGCUGGUGAUAAAACUGGAGGUGUUUGAGCUUCGACACUACUCUACUCUGGUUGCAAACUGAUGUAAAAUAAUAUUUUGAUUGUGGUUUGAACAAUAUUUUUGGGGUGCAAGUUAUGAUGUAAACUAUUAAACUUGUGCUAUUUCUAUGCUUUUGGGAUGCAAGUUCUGAUGUAAAACUGAUUAGUUCUAGGUA